GUAGUUGUGGCUGAGUGGUUAAGGCGAUGAACUAGAAAUCCAUUGGGGUUGUCCUGCUCAGGUUUGAAUCCUGCCAACUACG